GUCUACGGCCAUACCACCCUGAACGCACCCAAUCUCGUCUGAUCUCGGAAGCUAAGCAGGGUCGGGCCUGGUUAGUACUUGGAUGGGAGAAACACAGAUCACUUCUCAUAACCCAACCAAGCAGUUAGAUG
ensembl:rRNA 5S_rRNA 5S ribosomal RNA